rnacentral:rRNA from 1 species
GCUCGUGUCGUGAGAUGUUCGGUUAAGUCCGCUAACGAGCGCAACCCUCGUCGUAUGUUAUAUGUGUCAUACGAGACUGCCGGUAAAAAGCCGGAGGAAGGUGAGGAUGAUGUCAAGUCAGCAUGACCUUUAUAUCCAGGGCUACACACACGCUACAAUGGUCUGUACAAUGGGUAGCCAAGCCGCGAGGCGGAGCCAAUCCUGAAAGCAGGCCUCAGUUCAGAUUGCAGUCUGCAACUCGACUGCAUGAAGCCGGAGUUGCUAGUAACCGCAGGUCAGCAAUACUGCGGUGAAUACGUUCCCGGGUCUU